rnacentral:rRNA from 1 species
AACGAACGCUGGCGGCAGGCUUAACACAUACAAGUCGAACGCAUCCUUCGGGGUGAGUGGCAGACGGGUGAGUAACGCGUGGGAACGUGCCCUUCAGUUCGGGAUAACCCAGGGAAACUUGGGCUAAUACCGGAUACGUGCGAGAGCAGAAAGAUUUAUCGCUGAAGGAUCGGCCCGCGUCUGAUUAGCUAGUUGGUGGGGUAAUGGCCCACCAAGGCGACGAUCAGUAGCUGGUCUGAGAGGAUGAUCAGCCACAUUGGGACUGAGACACGGCCCAAACUCCUACGGGAGGCAGCAGUGGGGAAUAUUGGACAAUGGGCGCAAGCCUGAUCCAGUCAUGCCGCGUGAGUGAUGAAGGCCUUAGGGUUGUAAAGCUCUUUCGUCCGGGACGAUAAUGACGGUACCGGAAGAAGAAGCCCCGGCUAACUUCGUGCCAGCCGCCGCGGUAAUAC